AAAUAUCUUUACCUCCAAAAUUUUAGAGUGUUCCAAACUGCAUUAUAAAUUGAUUUAAUGAAAAAUAAGCUUCUAAGUAUCUGAGUCAUGAAAGAAAAUAAGCCUCAGGAGCCUAAGUACUUCAGUACUACAAGACCUGAAAGAUAGCAUUCUCAGCAGCUGAAGAAGCUCUAUCGCUGUCUGCAGGGGCAAUGGCAGUAACUCCUAGAUCUGUAGAUGGAGCAACAGCAACCAGAGAAUGCAGCGAGUGAACAAUGAUGUGACGGUUGGACCAACUGCUGGAGCAGAAGAAGGGACUAAAUGCUCAGGGGCACUGCCUGAGGCUGCCUGGGACUUCCAGAAUUUGUGCAACACUCACAGUGACAUACCAGCACAGCUUUCCAUGGCUAGUUUCAAUGAUGUCUUCUGGCACAUCUUCCAGGCCCCCAUGACCCCACAUUGUAUGGAAAAAGGGGCAGCUAGAAACCGCACUUGUAUAAGUGGAGGAUGCAGAAUUCCAGGAAGGCAGAAACUGUAGGCUUGUGAGUUUUGUGACAGGAUGAAUGCUCUUUCCCUGCUUGCACCUGUGCAUUUACAGAAUGUAUUUAAUGCCCCUAUAAAAGAUGAGGAGAAACAAGUUUUCUCACAAUAUAUUAGGGACACAUCAGAGUUUUGAGUCGGGUUUUGACCAGAUGACUUCCAAAGGUCACUUCUAACCUAAAUGAUUGUGCCAUACUACUCAAUCAUUCAAUGAUAUUAUCAUAUUUGAACUUUCAGAAUUACAGGCACGAAUAAUCACGUGUGUAUCCUACAGAUUCUAUUCAAUCAAGAGUAGUGGAUCAACAUCCCUUGAGGCACUGGGAUUAAUAUUUCCAUGCUCUAUUGCUCCCAUUCACGAAUUUAGGUUGGGCAAAUGGUGAACAAAAUUACAGACGCAAGCACACGCACGCAUCCUGUGACUCCCAAAAUCAGAACCCUGAUCCUGUAUCCUCCAUAAAUAUUUUCUACCUCACAGCAGGAUAUAAUCCAUUUUUUUCUCCUACUUAUCACACACCAUCAUCCUUUUAGCUGGUCUCAUUCUCAGACAUACCUGAGUAAAUCUCACCACUCCAACACAUGGAAUAUGUCCUACUCCUAUUUUCUGAUUAAGAAAUAUACUGUGAGUUUGGAGCAAUUAAAAUGCUGCUUCUAUGUACCAUCUUUAAAUGUUUUGUAUAUCACCAGUAACACAUUGCAAACAGUGCCAUGAACCCUCUUUCAUUCUGUGCAUUAAAAGUAGCUAUAUUUUCAAAA